rnacentral:tRNA from 1 species
ACCUGGGUGGCUCAGUGGUUAAGCAUCUGAUUUUAGCUCAGGUCAUGAUCUUACGGUUUGUGGGUUUGAGCCCCACAUUGGGCU